AUACGUAGGGUGCGAGCGUUGUCCGGAAUUACUGGGCGUAAAGAGCUCGUAGGUGGUUUGUCGCGUCGUCUGUGAAAUUCCGGGGCUUAACUCCGGGCGUGCAGGCGAUACGGGCAUAACUUGAGUACCGUAGGGGAGACUGGAAUUCCUGGUGUAGCGGUGAAAUGCGCAGAUAUCAGGAGGAACACCGGUGGCGAAGGCGGGUCUCGGGUCAGUAACUGACGCUGAGGAGCGAAAGCAUGGGGAGCGAACAGGAUUAGAUACCCUGGUAGUCCAUGCCGUAAACGGUGGGCGCUAGGUGUAGGGGUCUUCCACGACUUCUGUGCCGUAGCUAACGCAUUAAGCGCCCCGCCUGGGGAGUACGGCCGCAAGGCUAAAACUCAAAGGAAUUGACGGGG
rnacentral:rRNA from 1 species